rnacentral:rRNA from 1 species
AAAGAUUUCAUCGGUAUGGGAUGGGGUCGCGUCCUAUCAGGUAGGCGGCGGGGUAACGGCCCACCGAGCCUACGACGGGUAGCCGGCCUGAAAGGGCGACCGGCCACAUUGGGACUGAGAUACGGCCCAGACUCCUACGGGAGGCAGCAGUGGGGAAUAUUGCACAAUGGGCGCAAGCCUGAUGCAGGACGCCGCGUGCGGNAUGACGGCCUUCGGAUUGUAAACCGCUUUUGAUCGGGAGCAAGCCUUCGGGUGAGUGUACCUUUCGAAUAAGCACCCGGCUAACUACGUGCCAGCACCCGCGGUAAUACGUAGGGUGCAAGCGUUAUCCGGAAUUAUUGGGCGUAAAGGGCUCGUAGGCGGUUCGUCGCGUCCGGUGUGAAAGUCCAUCGCUUAACGGUGGAUCUGCGCCGGGUACGGGCGGGCUGGAGUGCGGUAGGGGAGACUGGAAUUCCCGGUGUAACGGUGGAAUGUGUAGAUAUCGGGAAGAACACCAAUGGCGAAGGCAGGUCUCUGGGCCGUUACUGACGCUGAGGAGCGAAAGCGUGGGGAGCGAACAGGAUUAGAUACCCUGGUAGUCCACGCCGUAAACGGUGGAUGCUGGAUGUGGGGCCCGUUCCACGGGUUCCGUGUCGGAGCUAACGCGUUAAGCAUCCCGCCUGGGGAGUACGGCCGCAAGGCUAAAACUCAAAGAAAUUGACGGGGGCCCGCACAAGCGGCGGAGCAUGCGGAUUAAUUCGAUGCAACGCGAAGAACCUUACCUGGGCUUGACAUGUUCCCGACAGCCGUAGAGAUAUGGCCUCCCUUCGGGGCGGGUUCACAGGUGGUGCAUGGUCGUCGUCAGCUCGUGUCGUGAGAUGUUGGGUUAAGUCCCGCAACGACCGCAACCCUCGCCCUGUGUUGCCAGCACGUCGUGGUGGGAACUCACGGGGGACCGCCGGGGUCAACUCGGAGGAAGGUGGGGAUGACGUCAGAUCAUCAUGCCCCUUACGUCCAGGGCUUCACGCAUGCUACAAUGGCCGGUCAUCGGGAUNCGAC